rnacentral:rRNA from 1 species
AGCUCGUAGGCGGUUUGUCGCGUCUGCUGUGAAAGCCCGGGGCUUAACCCCGGGUGUGCAGUGGGUACGGGCAGACUAGAGUGCAGUAGGGGAGACUGGAAUUCCUGGUGUAGCGGUGGAAUGCGCAGAUAUCAGGAGGAACACCGAUGGCGAAGGCAGGUCUCUGGGCUGUUACUGACGCUGAGGAGCGAAAGCAUGGGGAGCGAACAGGAUUAGAUACCCGUGUAGU